GGCAGCAGUUACCCUACAGGUAGAAGGCAGCAAAACAGCCGUCAAGCAACUUCAGUGACUCGCCCCAAAGGAUUUAGAUCUCUUUCCUCCAGAAUACUAAAAUCUCUAGACAUCUGAACCAAAAGAAAAAAAUAUCGCCUUCAGUGAUGAAAAGCAUGGUGUGCAAAUCGACUCUCUGGGUUCCUGUGGAGAGAUUCUCAUCCCACAUAAAUAAGUCUUCAGGCGCCCUGGUCAGGACUUCUCAGGCAAAGUCUCUUCCAGGCAGCCUCAAUAGGACACAGCUGCACUGAUGUUAGUCUCAAUUGAUGGAGUGAAGAAGCCUCAUCUUUAUUCAGUGUAAAGCAGCUGCCAAGAGAAAUGGCCUUUGAGAGGGGUAAUAAGUUCAUGAAUAUCACCUGUGUCGUGCAAAACAAUAUUUGAUUUUUUUGAAAGUUUAAAUUGAUUGGAAAGAACAUAUGAAUUAAGUGCUAUCUCGUGAGUGAAAAGUUUUGCUGCAGGGUGACAGAGUGCGCCAUCAAGGUGAUGCAUUUCAAACAUUACCUUCCUGUGACACAAGGGAGUCAUGGACCAAAUGGAACAGAGGAAAUUAUGACCCGCUGGCCAGGAUGGAUCUGUAACAUAGGAAUGCCACACCAAUAUCCUGCAUUCCUAUUUCAGAGAAUAAGACCUUGAGCAAAUAAAACAAACACUGAAGUAGA
rnacentral:lncRNA from 1 species